AGAAGAGAGGAUUUGGGGAUGGGGGCUGGAAGCGCUAACGAGACCUGCCGGGAGGAUUUGCGUCUCCUGCAGCCCGCAGGCCGCCUGCCCCUUUCCGCACCCCCCUUUCCCGUCCAGCGAGAGAAUCCUAGCUCCCAGAGCCGGUGCAGUCAGUCCCCUCGCCCCUCCCGCCCCUGCUCGGGUCCCCCUCCAGCCGUCGCUACAUCCACCACCUCGGUUCCACUCAAUCGAUUUUUGCUGCAUGUCAACACUUAUUACCGAUAUAGCAAAGCCUCUCUGCCUCUGCUGACAGUUUGCAGCAGUGCGGGAUCCCCGCGCCCACAGUCCUGGGAAGGAACCUUUAUCCUCGUCGCUCCGGAAAGAUGAGACCUAGAAUCAUCACCGCUGUCCCCGAGAAAGCAGUGGACAGCUUAUUGAAUGCAGGUAUCAAGGGGAGUGUGCGUGGGGAGCGGCUUGCUGCGCCCAGUGGAACUUUCUGCACCCAAUGGCAUCGUUCUCUGUCUUCCCAGAUCGACUGCGGGGCCUUCUCGGAGUCGCUUCAUUUGGUGCUUGCAUUUGGUUGGCCCCCAGUCUCCCCGACAGCUUCAUCCCUCUGUGUGCGGGCUAGCGGGAUGGGGAUGGGGGUUUGAAGGGAAAGAGGGGACACCAUAGUGGUCAGAGGCGGAGACCCUGCACGCCAUCCCCAGCGCUAAGAAGUGGGCUUUGCCUCUCAGAGCCUACGGCUGCAGGCUACAGAUCACUUUGUUAGAAAAUAAAAUACGAUCAAGCAAAGUAAAGUAGAAAUAGAACCCUUCUUCUAUGGGUUCUGGGCCUCGAGCGAUAUUCAUUCACAGGACACUCCUGACCUCAGCUUCUCCAGAUACCUCGUGAAAUCUGUGAAGUCAAGGGAGAUGUUCUUAUCUGAUGAGACAGUGUCUUGUUUAUCUUUCUCUGACAUAAGAGAAAAAAAAGAAGAAGAAGAGGAACCUCUUGCAAAUGCUGGGCUGCAGCUCUGGGCUACAGCUUCCUGGCGCGAAACACCUCAUCCCAGAGCCUCCUUUCCCUGCGUGGCUUGGCCAGCUUGUCAUCCGCCAUGAGCCAGGAGAUGGAUGUUUGGACAG
rnacentral:lncRNA from 1 species